CAGAUUGAACGCUGGCGGCAGGCUUAACACAUGCAAGUCGAACGGUAACAGGGAUUAGCUUGCUAAUCUGCUGACGAGUGGCGGACGGGUGAGUAAUGCUUGGGAAUCUGGCUUAUGGAGGGGGAUAACUACGGGAAACUGUAGCUAAUACCGCGUAAAAUCUUCGGAUUAAAGGGUGGGACUUUCGAGCCACCUGCCAUAAGAUGAGCCCAAGUGGGAUUAGGUAGUUGGUUAGGUAAAGGCUGACCAAGCCGACGAUCUCUAGCUGGUCUGAGAGGAUGACCAGCCACACUGGAACUGAGACACGGUCCAGACUCCUACGGGAGGCAGCAGUGGGGAAUAUUGCACAAUGGGGGGAACCCUGAUGCAGCCAUGCCGCGUGAAUGAAGAAGGCCUUCGGGUUGUAAAGUUCUUUCGGUGACGAGGAAG
rnacentral:rRNA from 1 species